rnacentral:lncRNA from 1 species
AAAUUGCCAUUCAUCUCACACAAUCAACAUCUUUACAUGCCAAUGCCAUCAAAAGGACUUUUUCAAGGCUUGUAAUGAGGUUGGGCUAACAAGAAAAAUUGGUUUUUCUGGAAAACAAAAUUCUUGAGUUAAGAGAGCUAUCAUAAAAUUCAACAUUUAAGCACAAAUCACUUCCUCACCAAUCUCUCUCAUUCCCUACUUUUCCUCUUUUUCUUUUCCAUUGAGCUCAUCUUCAUGCUUUUUCUUAUUUUUUUUCUUUUUCUCAUGCAUUUUUCUUUUUCAACAAUUGAGCUCAAUGCUUCUUAAUAGCUUUCCAAUUUCCCCCAUGCAACCCCAAACUUGAACCUUUUCAUCACAUACAGUUAAG